GACGAACGCUGGCGGCGUGCUUAACACAUGCAAGUCGAACGGAAAGGCCUGCAGCUUGCUGCGGGUACUCGAGUGGCGAACGGGUGAGUAACACGUGGGUGAUCUGCCUUGCACUUCGGGAUAAGCUUGGGAAACUGGGUCUAAUACCGGAUAGGACAGCUGUUUAGUGUCAGUUGUGGAAAGUUUUUUCGGUGCAAGAUGAGCUCGCGGCCUAUCAGCUUGUUGGUGGGGUAAUGGCCUACCAAGGCGUCGACGGGUAGCCGGCCUGAGAGGGUGUACGGCCACAUUGGGACUGAGAUACGGCCCAGACUCCUACGGGAGGCAGCAGUGGGGAAUAUUGCACAAUGGGCGGAAGCCUGAUGCAGCGACGCCGCGUGGGGGAUGAAGGCCUUCGGGUUGUAAACUCCUUUCGACAGGGACGAAGCGUAAGUGACGGUACCUGUAUAAGAAGCACCGGCUAACUACGUGCCAGCAGCCGCGGUAAUACGUAGGGUGCGAGCGUUGUCCGGAAUUACUGGGCGUAAAGAGCUCGUAGGUGGUUUGUCGCGUCGUCUGUGAAAUUCCGGGGCUUAACUCCGGGCGUGCAGGCGAUACGGGCUGACUUGAGUGCUGUAGGGGAGACUGGAAUUCCUGGUGUAGCGGUGAAAUGCGCAGAUAUCAAGAGGAACACCGAUGGCGAAGGCAGGUCUCUGGGCAGUAACUGACGCUGAGGAGCGAAAGCAUGGGUAGCGAACAGGAUUAGAUACCCUGGUAGUCCAUGCCGUAAACGGUGGGCGCUAGGUGUAGGGGGCUUCCACGUCUUCUGUGCCGUAGCUAACGCAUUAAGCGCCCCGCCUGGGGAGUACGGCCGCAAGGCUA
rnacentral:rRNA from 1 species